rnacentral:rRNA from 1 species
UACGAAGGGGGCUAGCGUUGCUCGGAAUCACUGGGCGUAAAGCGCACGUAGGCGGACUCUUAAGUCGGUGGUGAAAUCCUGGAGCUCAACUCCAGAACUGCCUUCGAUACUGAGAGUCUCGAGUCCGGGAGAGGUGAGUGGAACUGCGAGUGUAGAGGUGAAAUUCGUAGAGAUCGGGAGGAACACCGGUGGCGAAGGCGGGUCUCUGGGCAAUUCCUGACGCUGAGGCGCGAAAGCGUGGGGAGCAAACGGG